rnacentral:rRNA from 1 species
GGGGAAUAUUGCACAAUGGGGGAAACCCUGAUGCAGCGACGCCGCGUGAGUGAAGAAGUAUUUCGGUAUGUAAAGCUCUAUCAGCAGGGAAGAAAAUGACGGUACCUGACUAAGAAGCCCCGGCUAACUACGUGCCAGCAGCCGCGGUAAUACGUAGGGGGCAAGCGUUAUCCGGAUUUACUGGGUGUAAAGGGAGCGUAGACGGCUCUGCAAGUCUGGAGUGAAAGCCCGGGGCUCAACCCCGGGACUGCUUUGGAAACUGUGGAGCUAGAGUGCAGGAGAGGUAAGUGGAAUUCCUAGUGUAGCGGUGAAAUGCGUAGAUAUUAGGAGGAACACCAGUGGCGAAGGCGGCUUACUGGACUGUAACUGACGUUGAGGCUCGAAAGCGUGGGGAGCAAAC